rnacentral:rRNA from 1 species
AUUGCCCUAGUAACGGCGAGUGAAGCGGCAACAGCUCAAAUUUGAAAUCUGGCUCUUUUAGGGUCCGAGUUGUAAUUUGCAGAGGGCGCUUUGGCUUAGGCAGCGGUCCAAGUUCCUUGGAACAGGACGUCACAGAGGGUGAGAAUCCCGUACGUGGUCGCUGGCCUUUGCCGUGUAAAGCCCCUUCGACGAGUCGAGUUGUUUGGGAAUGCAGCUCUAAAUGGGAGGUAAAUUUCUUCUAAAGCUAAAUACUGGCCAGAGACCGAUAGCGCACAAGUAGAGUGAUCGAAAGAUGAAAAGCACUUUGGAAAGAGAGUCAAAAAGCACGUGAAAUUGUUGAAAGGGAAGCGCUUGCAGCCAGACUUGCCUGUAGUUGCUCAUCCGGGCUUUUGCCCGGUGCACUCUUCUGCGGGCAGGCCAGCAUCAGUUUGGGCGGUUGGAUAAAGGUCUCUGUCACGUACCUCUCUUCGGGGAGGCCUUAUAGGGGAGACGACAUACAACCAGCCUGGACUGAGGUCCGCGCAUCUGCUAGGAUGCUGGCGUAAUGGCUGUAAGCGGCCCGUCUUGAAACACGGACCAAGGAGUCUAACAUCUAUGCGAGUGUUUGGGUGUCAAGCCCGAGCGCGUAAUGAAAGUGAACGGAGGUGAGAACCCUUUGGGUGCAUCAUCGACCGAUCCUGAUGUCUUCGGAAGGAUUUGAGUAAGAGCAUGGCUGUUGGGACCCGAAAGAUGGUGAACUAUGCUUGAAUAGGGUGAAGCCAGAGGAAACUCUGGUGGAGGCUCGCAGCGGUUCUGACGUGCAAAUCGAUCGUCAAAUUUGGGCAUAGGGGCGAAAGACU